CGGGAUCUAGCUCAAAUGGUAGAGCACUCGCUUUGCAUGCGAGAGGUACAGGGUUCGGUCCCCUGCACCUCCA
rnacentral:tRNA from 1 species